UGGCUCAGAACGAACGCUGGCGGCAGGCUUAACACAUGCAAGUCGAGCGCACUCUUUUAGAGUGAGCGGCAAACGGGUGAGUAACGCGUGGGAAUCUACCCCUCUCUACGGAAUAACACAGAGAAAUUUGUGCUAAUACCGUAUACGUCCCUUUUGGGAGAAAGAUUUAUCGGAGAUGGAUGAGCCCGCGUUGGAUUAGCUAGUUGGUGAGGUAACGGCCCACCAAGCGACGAUCCAUAGCUGGUCUGAGAGGAUGAUCAGCCACACUGGGACUGAGACACGGCCCAG
rnacentral:rRNA from 1 species